rnacentral:rRNA from 1 species
GAUGAACGCUGGCGGCGUGCCUAAUACAUGCAAGUCGAGCGAACAGACGAGGAGCUUGCUCCUCUGACGUUAGCGGCGGACGGGUGAGUAACACGUGGAUAACCUACCUAUAAGACUGGGAUAACUUCGGGAAACCGGAGCUAAUACCGGAUAAUAUAUUGAACCGCAUGGUUCAAUAGUGAAAGACGGUUUUGCUGUCACUUAUAGAUGGAUCCGCGCCGCAUUAGCUAGUUGGUAAGGUAACGGCUUACCAAGGCAACGAUGCGUAGCCGACCUGAGAGGGUGAUCGGCCACACUGGAACGGAGACACGGUCCAGACGCCUACGGGAGGCAGCAGUAGGGAAUCUUCCGCAAUGGGCGAAAGCCUGACGGAGCAACGCCGCGUGAGUGAUGAAGGUCUUCGGAUCGUAAAACUCUGUUAUUAGGGAAGAACAAAUGUGUAAGUAACUAUGCACGUCUUGACGGUACCUAAUCAGAAAGCCACGGCUAACUACGUG